rnacentral:lncRNA from 1 species
AAAAAAAAAAAAAACUGAAUAAUAAUAAAAUAGAUUUACUUGGGUGGGAGUCAGACAGAUGUAUCUUGGUUUAGGAUUGCGAGCGAACCAAUUAAUAAUUUAUCACAUUAUUAUAAAAUGCACUUUACUGAAAAAUAACGCUACGAACAUCAUACAGUUUUUUUAAACAAUUUAUUCAAACUACUAUUCAUUUUUAAGUCGGCUUUCAAAAAUACUGUUCAUUAUUGUUUUUUAUUUUUUUCCACUAAAUUACUAUAGUUUUUUUUUUUUAACACCGGUUGGUUAUGCUAUUACAAACUACGAAAAAUAUUACAUAGACAUACUAUGAAUUCUACUUACCUUAUGAAGAUUCACGUCUGACUAGAACUAGACAAAUAAACCGAACCCGAUCCGAUAAAAAUGAAUCCAAACCGAUCUGAACCCGGCGUAAAUACCGAUUGGAUCAUGUUUUACGGUAUUUUGGGUAAUAGAUAUUAUCCGAACCGAAUCCGAACCUAAAUGGGCACCCGAUAGAACCCGAAAGAUUCAAAAUCCCCAAAAUAGCUUGUACCAAACAUGAUCUUAAUUCCAAAUACGUAUCCAAAAUACACAAAGAAAUUAUUGAACAUCUAAAAUAAUUAUCUAUUACAUUAAAGUUGAUGGUUGAAGUUGACGGUUGAAGCUUGAAGUUUUUAGAUUUUGGUUUUGUUUUCAUAGUAUAAUGUUUCUCAUUUUAUGAUAACUUGGUUUUCGUUUUAUGCUUUCUUUUAUUUGGGUUUCUUUCUAUCAAUAACUAUGUUUACCUUUCGUUUGUUUUUGAAUGAUCGAGUUUGAUGUUCCUUUACUAUUUUUGAGUCGAUUUUACUUAUGUUUUAGUUACAAAAUAGAUAUAAAUCUGGUAUUUUAAAACUGAAGAACCGAUUUUACUAUGUUUUGGUUACAAAGUAGAGACAAAUUACGUACUUUUAAACCAAUGAACCGAUUGGGACCCGAACCCGAAAGUACAUCAGGUUGUACCGGUUCUUUGAAGAUUUACCAACCUCGACCCAAAUUCGAGAGAACCCGAACCGAACUUUCAUAUAAUCCGAAUGUGGCUGAUUUUGAUAAACCCGAAAAACCGAGACCCGAUUGGACAAAACCGAAACCCAAUUGGGACUCCGACUGCCCAUGCCUACGUCUGACUGCAUCAUUCCGAACUGCCCUGUAAAAACCAUUCCUAACGGUACUCCUUGUCCAAUAUUCGGUAUAGUUUACUUUUUUUCGGGAAUUGAAACUCAUACUAAGGACUUCCACAAUUAUUCAUUAUUUUUUUAUGAUUAUUUUUUAUUAACACGUAUUUUUUUUAUUGAUUAGAAUGAAAUUAAAGUUACUAAAAUUUUUAAAAAUCAUUGAACCAAAACCUCAACCGGUGAAACCAAUCACUCAACCGAGGGGUAGUAACAUGGUCUACUAAUUUUAUUUUUUGACCGGGUCGUAUCGGGUCAAAAAGAUCCGACAGCAGAAUCUCCAAAACGACAACGUUUGAUCACCGAUUAAUAAUGGUCACACACACGCGCAUUGUAGUUUGUUUUUGGAAUUUACGAAACGCGCUAAUGAGCUUAGCUUCAGUUAUCCACCACCACGGAGUCCUCUCCCCGGCGAAACCGGAUCGAAUCUUCUUAAACAUUCCGGUGAUCCCGCCGCAUCGUCUCCGAGCUCGUGGAUGGACUCAGUCUCCUCUCUCUCUCCUCGCAAAUCCUUCUCUCGUUUCAGGUCUCCCUCUCUCUCAAAAUUGCAUUUUCAUGUAAGUUGGAUUCAUCUAAAUGUGCUUUUCAGCUGCGAAUCAUCGCCUCCUUCACAUUGCGUGCGCCCGAGGAACUGAUCAGGAAGAUGAUCUUUCUUCUUCUCCAGGUGAAUGCUUCUUCAGGAGAUGAGACUCUCUACAUCAUUAGUAUUGAACUGUGAUCUUACUUGUGAUGAUAAUGUUUCUUGUGUGUGGGAUGUUAGUACAGAGAAGGAGAAGAUAGAUCUUCUACCACACAAAGAUGAAGAUAAAGGCCUGAGAGAUUAUAAUAAUAAUAAUCGACAAGAAGAGACAAACAAAACUUCCUUCAGCACUGUUGCCUUGUGUGUUAGUAAUCUUCUUGCAUCUGAUGCUAAUAAUAUGUUUUUGCUCUGUAAACGAAACUUAAUGUUUUACUCUAUCCCUCAAUAGGUAAGCACUGCCGUGGCGUUUGGGAUCGGGAUAGGUUUCAAGGAUGGUGUUGGCAAGGCGUCAGAGUUUUUUGCAGGGUGCGUUGUCCUUUAAAAAUAUAUAUACAAGUUAGCUUAGCGAUAUCUUAAGUUAACUGUUUUUUUUUCAAACUCUUGCAGCUAUUUAUUGGAGCAAAGCUUGUCAGUGGACAACUUGUUUGUUUUUGUACUCGUCUUCAAGUACUUCAAAGUGCCACUCAUGUACCAGGUACCAGUUUAUCUGCACAGAGAUUACUUCUUGACUAUAAUAGAGUAUUCUGAUUUUUAAUAUAUAAUUUUGCUAUGUUGGAUUUAUUAGAAUCGGGUGCUUACAUAUGGUGUAGCUGGUGCAAUUCUCUUUCGCUUCUCGCUCAUAUUACUAGGAACAGCCACUCUUCAGGUGUUUGGACUUUGGAUCAGAGCGUUUGUUAUUGUAUUGCUGUUUAUUUUAUUCUUUUUUCUGCCUCAUUUGAGAUCAAUUUCUAAAUCCUCUCUACAAUCUUUCAGAGAUUUGAAGCCGUGAAUCUUCUGCUUGCGGCAGUACUCUUAUAUUCGUCUUUCAAGGUGCAUGUUUCCUCAUCUUAGCAUCUAUACCUAUAAUACACACACGACACAACUAUUAGUAAGGAAAAUAAAGGGUGGUCGGUCGCUUUUGCUGUGCCUAAUGUCUUGUUGCAGUUAUUUUCAAGUGAAGAAGAUGAUACAGAUCUAUCUGACAACUUCAUUGUGAAGACAUGCCAGAGAUUUAUUCCUGUCACAUGUAAUGUACCUCGUCUUUCUUCCUCCUGUUCCCUCUAGUUACUUGCAUUAUAUGUAGUCAUGCGUCUAAUUUCAAUGCUAAUACUGUUUCCCAUGCUUCCAUUAGCUGAUUUUUUUUUUAAACUGUGGGCAGCAAGUUACGAUGGAAAUAGGUUUUUCACAAAGAAUGAUGGCAUUUGGAAAGUAAGUAUUUCACUAAAUUUAUCUUAGUAUCUUUUGACUGGGUUCUAAUCUAUCUCAAAACAAUUUGAACAGGCCACACCAUUGCUACUCACAGUAGCAGUAAUCGAGCUCAGCGACAUAGCAUUUGCUGUAUACUCCAUCACCAGUUUGUGAAUCUUUUUUGGUUUAAAAAAAUGAAGCGCAGCACUAAUGCUUGUUGCCCAUUCUCUUAGGUUGACUCAAUACCAGCUGUUUUUGGCGUCACAAGGGAUCCUUUUAUAGUCUUGACCUCUAAUCUGUUUGCAAUCAUAGGUACUAACUUUUUUAGUCUGUACUUGAUCUUGCUGAUGUUGAUGCUGCCAAUAUUAUUGGAAAAUUUGAAUUGAAUUUUUAGUGGGAGAUUUUGCAUAACAGUUUAUUUAUUAUGUUUUUGUUGCAGGACUGAGGUCUCUCUAUACUUUGAUUUCUGAAGGAAUGGGCGAGCUGGAAUACUUGCAGGUAUUAUUUAUCAAAUGUUCCAACAAAGCUAAGCAGUCAAAUGCAUAAGAGAGAGGGUUCCUUAACUGUGGUCAUCAGUAUCUAAUCUUGUAUUUGCCUUAACCAGCCAUCAAUAGCAGUUGUUCUUGGCUUCAUCGGAUUCAAGAUGAUCCUCGAUUUCUUUGGUAUAUAAUUCAUUGUUUAUUCAUCCAAAAUUUUCUUGAACAAAAUCACCACAAAAAACUAAGCUCUUCCUCAUUGCAGGCUUCCAUGUAUCGACGGAGGCAUCACUUGGUGUUGUGGCACUCUCUCUCAGCACCGGAGUUUUGUUGAGCCUAACAAACAAAUCCGGCGACAGCUAACUAAGAGAAUGGGGAAGAGCUUCCAGAUGUAGUCAAUCAAACAGUUCAUAAGAACAAAAUCGCAUUGUUCAUUAAAUCAUUCCACAGAUAUGUUGCUGUAGAUACAACACAGCUGCAGAGAACAAGAUCUUUAGACCCAAACUUAAUAUAUUUUGUCUGUAAGAAUGUUGGCUUUGUUAGUCUGGCUAUGGAACGAAUUGAUUGUUUUGAGACGAGUUGACUCUUCUUUGAUAGCCAAGUCAUUUUGUUGCUCAAUCAAGGAGCUUGAAAGUGAGGAAUGAGAAAUGCUAAAAGUAUGAGACUAUUCAUUUGGCUUUAGUCUUUCCAUUCUCCAUAACAGAGCUCUUAUUCAGGCAUUGCAAGAUAAUCAAACAAAUUACUCUUCUAAUUAUCAAAUAAUCUCUACAAAAUGCUUCUGUUUUUAGCUCAGCUUUGUGCUAUGCUCUUUACUUAUUUUAGCUAACCAAUUGUCUCAUCUCACCCUCGAUCUUGUUUAGUGUCAUAUAUCUAGCCUUUAAUCAUGAGAUAACAUCUACUUCUAACUUCAUCAUGUCUCUUAAAAUCAAUGGUAGAUAGAUAUAAAGUGACAACUUGCAAUAAAUAAUACACAAAUCUCACCAGUUCCGUACACAAUGGACUGGACUCACACAUUCACUUAUUUAAGUAGUUAUCUUGGUUAAACAGGAACUCUUAUCACGUGCAGUCUUAGAGGCAAAGCAAGGUCAGUCAAGCCUGGAAAGAAAAACACAAAAUGUAAGAACAUCUUCCAAGUAACUACAAUAAACUAAUGUGUCUAGGUAUUUAAGAUCAAUGCUCGAGAGCGAGGCCGAGUAAUGAUAAAUGUUGAUGUGUUUUACCAGCAUAGACAGCUCAGGGAUGGGAUUUAAACAUCGCGAACGUGGUUGAAGUCCUCCAACUUCUUGAGAUUCUCCCAUGCCUUCUCCAAAACCUUGGCCUCGUAGACCUUCUUGGUCUCUCCAUCAGCCACCUCCACGGUGAGAUGGUGCAUGGUUCCCGCCACAACCUGUGUUUUCGCACCGAGGAGCCUCCUGUACUCCAGAGUCACGUUCUACACACAUAACACAAUCAUUUUGGAGACUGAACAGAUGAAUCUGAUCAAAUACUAAAUUCAAAAAUCUUAAUAGAGCUUUCAUCUAUGAAUGACUGUAGGGCCUAGCACAAAAACAUUUUUUCUUACUCUCUAAAAUUUAUAUGUCAUAAUGUUUAAAAUGUUUUUAAAAUUUAAUGAGUAAUAUAUUAUAUAUUUUGUAAUGAAAAUAAAACUAUACACUUAUCAAAUAAUUGUGGCUCUUUUCGGUUUUAUUUAUUAUAUUUAUAAUUUUUUUUAUAUAUAAAAAUAUAAAUUUAUAAAAAAUUGAGCCCCUUUGAUUUUUUUUUCUUUUUUUGCCUCUUAAUUAUUAUUACUGACUUAGCAUAAGAUCGGACGAGAAAAUCACCAAUCUGCUAUGAAACAACAGCAAACAGAUAAUCAAAAGGAGAAUGAAACCGUAAUAGAAGCGUACCUCCUUCUUGUUAUGCUCAUCGACGGCGAAACGAGCGAGACUCUCGACUUGAAGAUCAUUUGCAUUUGCAUCAAUAUCGCGAACUCCUCCGACGAUUGUUCCUCCUUGUUGAUCCGCCAUUAUCGCCUGCUUCCUUUUUUUUUUCCUCCAAAUAUUAUUAUUUGAUUCGUAGCUAAUAAGUCUUCUAAUUGCUGUACUUCUAUAUAUAGAGGGAAUCUUAAAGCGCGUUUUCGUAUCCUUCAAGAAUAGUUCUUUUCCAGUAUUUGUGACUCAUUAUAACACUAACCAUCGAAACUAUAUAUUAUAUGUAAAUCGAAUUAUACAGAGAGAUUAAACUAAAAGAAGAAACUAUUGAUAAAAUCCAUAACCAGAAAGGGGUAAGGUCAGGCCCAUACCGUAUAGUAUGUAUCGGGCCGAUCAAAAGAUGUCACCACGAAUAAGACAUUUCUUCACCCUUUUUCUAUGUUUAUUUUGUCAACAUUUGAUAAAAUCCUAGUAAAGUAACCAGAAAAAAAAAAAAACUGUCAAAUUUACUUUUGACUCUCUUAAGCAAAACAUCUAAUAUGUUUGAUUUUAAAAAAAAAUUCUUUAUAUGAAAUAGCUAGGAAAAUAAUAUUCAAUUCUUAAAAAAGAAAAUUAUAUUUGGAGGACCUCUUCUAGCUAAAACAUGUGUGGCAUCAUUGUAUUGUCUUCUGACAAAGUAAAAAAGAAAAGUAUAUAGUUUACAGCUCCAAGUUUAGUGUUUGCAACUAAAAUUGGUGAUGGGCAUGUUUUCAAUUACCAACAUUUGUGAAUCAACUUCGAAAACAAACGUUAGAAGGAGUAUUUGUGAACAUUUAUCAACAUGUUGCUAAAAAAAAAAGAACAUUUAUCAACAUUUGUGAAUCUCUUUGUUUUAUUUUAAGUGUAGAUGAUUAGUGUUGGUUCUUUUCUAGCUUCUGAGGGCAAUGUUUACCUCACCGACUUAUGGCUCUUAAAGAAAUGUGUUCUUUGCCCGCUUAUAUUUGUAAGAUUUGCAUUUUCCUCGUUUAAUAUAAUUUUCGGAUGACAGAAAAAAAAAGAGUAAUUCUUAACUACACCAUUUUGCAAGCAGAUAGGAAGUGACUAUUUUGGAAAAAUAUUUCAGUCUAAAAUGGAUCACUUAAAGAAUGGGUAGGUCAAAUUGUCUUCCCAUACCAUAAGUGUGCGCAAAUAAAUACCGGAGAAACAAAAACUUGUUUACUCUGUCUUUAUUUAUUUUUUGUAACUGCAAGUUGGUCAAGCGUGUGUUGUUGAUACUAAUUUGUUUCAAAAGAGAUAAAAAAGACACCAAGUCUUAAAAGUCACUUCCGUCUCCCUCCCACUCUCUCUCUCUCUCUCUCCCUUAAAAAACCAAACAAAGCAGAAUCGGUUUCAUCAGCUAAUCCACUAAUUCUAAUCCACCACCAUGGCAACAACAACGACUCCCCGCCGCAUAACCACCGGUUCGAUCGCCUCGGUCCAAUCGCAUUCCGCGGUUCGACCUCAAUCAAUGAUCUCUCUAAUCCGUCGAAAUCACCACCUCAACCUUCGUCUGCCGUCGCCAAUUGCCUCUGCCUCCACCAGGAGGUGGUUAAUCGAAGCGGUCGCGAGUUCGCCCUGGGAAGGAUCUGGUGACGGAGGAGCUCAGGUUGAUGGUAAAAAGCCAGGAGUGUGCGGUUACGCGAUCAGCGGCAACGAGGUCGAAGGGAGCAGUGGGGAGCUUGUGGAGGGAGAUCAGCAGCAUGUCAAUACGAUGGAGAUGGUGAUGUGGGCGGCGGCUACGGCGGCGUUUGGAGUCGCGAACCGCGUGAUGUACAAGCUCGCGCUGGUCCCGCUCAAACAGUAUCCCUUCUUCCUCGCGCAACUCUCCACCUUCGGGUAAAAUGAAAUCUCUGAGUUUUGCUUACUGAUGUUAAUUAAUUUUAUUUAGAGGUCCUAACACGUUCUUAAUCUUACAAGCAAUUGAGAACUAAUUAUAAAGCUCACCAACCUACGUGGUAAUUCUUUUAAAAAAACGUGGUAUUUUAAUAUUUUGGCAUCUCCGGUUUGCAUGUUUUAAGAGUUAUAUAGUCCUAAAGAAUAGUUCGCAAGUCCUAGCUACUUACUAGGGUUUAUUGGUUGUCGUAUUUUAAUGAAUUUGAAAAUCCGAACUAAAUGUAGUGCUAUUGGUUCUAUGAUUUUCAAAUAUGUAUUAAAAUCAUGUGUUAUUGGUUUAAUUAUUCAUAAAUUCUAUAUCAAAUCAAGUGUAAUUCAAUCGUACGGAUUUACUAAUAUAUUUGAUUUUAUAAUGGAUUUAAAUGGAUUUGUUUGAAUUUUUUAGUUAAAAAUACAAAAACUCAAAUCCGAGGGAAAACCUCGGAAUUUGCAUAUUUUAAUUAGAUUUAUAAAUACUAUAUGAAUUUCUAAAUCAAUCAAAAUAUAUAAACCAAUAACACCUCCUUAGUGAUUUGCACCAAAUAGGUAAUCUGUAGACAUUUUUGAAUAGUGAAUGGAAACUUAAAAUGUGCUUGGCUGGAAAUGAAAAUUUGGUUGAGAAUGCAUUUUCUUUCACAAUUUUUGUUUGUUUUUCUCCGUAAAAUGAUCGCUCUAAAAAUAUGAGGUGUGAUGUUAUACAUUUUUAAAAUACAAGGAGAUAUGAAUAAAUUGUAAAUAUUGGGUCAGAUUUGGCUUGCAGUCUAUUUUGAGUUGGAUACUUCUACUUGGGACAUUAUUGGAGGUGCAUAUCAUUUCUCCACAAGAAUUAACUCACAUAUUUUAUGAUUAUUUUAUAAUUCACAACUGGUCCAGAUUAAGAUUUAUACCCCACCAAUUAACAGCUUAUUUUCAUCAUAAACCAUUUGCAAAUUAUAUUACAUAACUCCAAACUGUUUUUCUGUUGACACAAUAUUUUUUUCUGUAAAAGAAACUUUAGCUUAAACAAUAUUGCAAUGAUCCAUUUUAUACAAAUAUAGGCAAACUCAAUUGGUUGAAUAUGUUACAAAAAGAAAUACUUGAAUAUGCUGCUAGAGGAAAAAAACACAACGUUAUAAGUUGGCGAAACCAAACUAUUACUCCCUCUGUUCUGAAAUGUAAGAUGUUUAGAAUAAUUUUUAUGUUCCAAUAUAUAAGAUGUUCUCAUCAUAUUUUUAGGUAACUUUAAGUUUAUCAAAAACUGUGUAGAUAAUCAAAUUUAAUAGUUCUAUUUUGUAAUUGGUUGAAUAGUUUUUAUUUUAUAAUUUUAAUGAUAUUUUCUUGGUAAAAAAUAAUUUUUUUAAUAAGUGUGUAUUACCCAAAACAUCUUAGGUUCAGAACAGAGGGAGUAGUAUUUUAAAAAGGUGGUGGAACCAAAUUGAAUAAAGUCCAUCCAUACGAUUAUCCGCCCCUUAGCGGCUUCGAAGUAAUAGUCUUAUGGGGUCCCCCCAGUGGCCUUGGACUUGAUUAGUAUAAUUCCUUAUUGUCCUAGCUUGUGAGGCUGAAAAUACCAAACCAAGCCAAAUUGAUGGUUUAUUCCCAUUUUGUCACAAUUUUUUCUCAAGUCGAAAGCAGUAACAAAUAGAGAAGUACAUACAACUACAUAAACAUUCUAUUGCCAAAACUUAAAUGGCAGCUGAAACUAAACCAAACAGAAGUGAUUAUGCUAACCCUUUUUUGUUCUUAAACCCAAACUAAAGGGAAACCAAACCGGAAUUGAUUGUAAACCGAAACGUGCACCCAUACUAUUAAAGUCCCUUUUCCUCUUAAUUUCUAGUGGUUGCUGCCUGCAGGGCAAGUUUGAUUAGCUUAUUGCCUUGCAUCCGAUUCUUAACUUGUCAACAAAAUGUCUAAAAUUGAGGAUCAUAAGAUAAUGUUACAUGUGCUUAACAGAGUGUUUAAAGUGGCUUUCUUCACUGUACAUGAUGUUGGGUAAAUAUAUUCGGAAUAAGUCUAUAGUGGUUGCUCUGUUCUUGGUGGACCAGAAACUUUGAUCAAUACUCGCCAUGAACUGUUUGUUUUCCUAUCCAUUUUCUUUAUUGCUUAUUUGCUUAAAUUAUGUCUUGGAAACAUCUUGUUCUAUAUAUCAAAGGCUUUAGUUUACAGAAUAAACAUUUCUUCUUUUUGAUAUUUGGUUCAUGUAGGUAUGUAGCUGUAUAUUAUUCAAUCUUGUAUUUUCGAUAUCGUGCUGGAACUGUUACAGAUGAGAUGCUCUCGGUGCCUAAGAUGCCAUUUUUAAUUGCUGGCGUCUUGCAGGCUUUAGCUGCAGCUGCUGGGAUGGCAGCUACAGGUAUAAUAACAUUACUCUUUGAACUAAUGUCCGUCCAUGCGAUCCUUACUUACAUUUGUUUUUGCGUUCCUAUUUCUUAAAUGGAAUAUAUAAUAGCUUUGUAAUUUUCAUCUACGAGAUGGCUUUGCUGGCUUUAUUUUAAUAGCUUUAUAUUUUUAUCGACCAUAAAUAUUCAUUUCAUUGUUUUUUUUCCCUUUAUUUCAGCAAAUCUCUCUGGGCCAUCUACUACAGUUUUAUCUCAGGUUAGAAGCAGUAUAAACAUGUUUUCUUCGUUCAAAAAACAAAACAUGUUUUCUUGGAUUUCUUGCUAAGUAAAUAUCCGUUUGUUUCCUUGCAGACAUUUCUUGUCUGGCAAAUCUUCUUCUCCAUUAUAUUUCUCAGGAGGAGAUAUAGCGUAAACCAAAUACUCGGAUGCACUCUUGUAGCUCUUGGUGUAGUCGUCAGUGUGGCAAGGUGUCCUCUUGUUCGACUUUGAUAUUUUCACAAAUGAUAGGAACCACUAAUAGUAUUGUUAUUGCAUCUUCAGUGGCUCAGGUGCUGCUCAUUCCUUAAAGGAAGCUGGAGUAUUUUGGAUUCUUCUUAUGGUCCUUUCUUACCUUUUCCAAGGAGCAGAUACAGUACUAAAGGUCCGUUAAUCACAAUUUGACAAGCCUUUAAACUAUUGUCAUUAUUCUAUUUAAUCUCAGAUUCAUUUUUUUUUAUAUAGGAAGUCAUUUUUAAAGAUAGCCAGAAACGAUUGAAGGUACAUACACAAUCUCAGAGUUUUCAUUAUUUAUUUUGUGUGCUUGAAGUUCUGAAAACUCAUCUCCUCUUACUAUCACAGGGAGCUUCACUCGAUCUUUUUAUAGUAAAUUCGUAUGGUUCAGCCUUCCAAGUAAGUACUCUCUAAGCUCUGACUUGCGUUGCAAGCAAAGUAACUUUGCCUCUAUUGAUGAUACUGUGACCAAUUCAGGCCAUUUGCAUUGCACUGCUUCUUCCAUUUCUUUCAAAACUUUGGGGCAUACCGUUUAACCAACUCGGUAGCUACCUAAAAGACGGCGCGGCUUGCUUUCUCAACAUCGGGACAAUGACAAAAGGAUGUGAAGGGGCUCCGUUGUUGCCUCUGUUGUUUGUGAUAGCAAACAUUGGCUAUAACAUUGCGCUUUUGAGACUACUCAAGAUUUCAUCGGCGGUGGUUUCAUCUCUUGCAUCGACAGUUUCAGUGCCCAUUGCAGUGUUCUUGUUCACAUUGCCAUUACCUUACCUUGGAGUUGCAUCAUCACUUCCAAAUGGGUUCAUGGGAGGAACAAUUAUACUUGUAUUGGGGAUGCUUGUUUACAGUUGGGCCCCACAAGGACCUAACGGAUCUCAUACUGAUUCAGCCAUUCCUUCACCUCCUCCCACUUAGAGUGAGUUUGAUUAGAGUUUCUGAUUUUAGUAAGAGAUUUGAGAGAUUUGUGAAAAUAUCAAACUAGAAAAAGAUAAUCUAAGAUCUGAAUAUCAUAAAAUAUUUUAAUGAUGUUAAUUGGAAAAGUUGACAUUUUUGAAAGUUGCUAGCUGGAUUUUGAUGUUAUUAUUUGGUUGAUAGAAUCCACUCAAUCCAGUUAUUCAGUUAAUGACAUUUUCAAUAAAUUAAAUAGGAUUAAAUUUCUUGAUUACAUGUCAAAAAAAAUCCCAAUUAAGAAUUUUUGUUUCCAUACGUCAGAUAAGAUGAAUUAAAAUUUGCAGAAUGUCCAUUUGUUUUCAAAAACUUGAUCUUUUGAUAUUAAAAGAAAAUAUUAUAUUUAUGGGGUAAAGUGAAUUGACAUUUGGAAGAUAAGAACAUACAGUUUUGUAACAAGUAUAAAUCACCAGGAUUAGCUCUCAACCUUGUCCUAAAUCUUUAACGUCUUCUCUUUACUUUAAAUAAAAACAUUACAGACAAGCUUUAGUCCUAAACUUCCUCUCUAUCAACAAACCCUAUAACCCUUUGAACCUAAAACCAACGAAGAGAACAAAAACAUUCUAUUCAUAGGCAUUUGACAACCAAAAACACCUAACGAUUUCUUGCUCUAGAAGAAACAAAAACCAGAGGAAGGAAAAAAAAAUGAUACUAAAAGAAUAAAAACACAAAAAAAAAACCUUUCAAUCUCUCUUCCUCCUUGAGCUUGUGACCUCCUUCCUCUCCCCCACCGCAACAAUGGGAAACUGUUGUUCUCAAGGACGGGACUCAGCCGAUAACGCAGAUGGAUACACACAAGACAAGGGCAUAACCGCUUCAACUGCUGAGCCUUCGGUACCACAAUCCAAACACGCCCCUCCUUCUCCUCCUCCCGCAACAAAACAAGGCCCUAUAGGACCUGUCUUAGGCCGACCCAUGGAAGAUGUAAAAUCUUCAUAUUCUCUAGGGAAAGAGCUAGGCCGAGGGCAGUUUGGUGUCACGCACCUCUGCACGCAGAAGGCAACAGAGGGAAAGAGCUAGGUCGUGGACAGUUUGGUGUCACGCACCUCUGCACGCAGAAGGCAACAGGUCAGCAGUUCGCUUGCAAGACCAUUGCCAAAAGGAAGCUUGUGAACAAAGAAGACAUUGAGGAUGUCAGAAGGGAAGUGCAGAUAAUGCAUCACAUGACCGGUCAGCCAAACAUUGUUG